GACGAACGCUGGCGGCGUGCUUAACACAUGCAAGUCGAACGGCAUGGCCCUGCUUUUUUGGUCUGCUCGUUUGCCGAACGGGUGAGGAACACGUGAGUAUCGUGCCCUUGACUUUGGGAUAACUUCACGAAACUGGGGUUAAUAUCGUAUAGGAGCUCCUGCUGCAGGGAGGGGGUUGGAUAGUUUCGGCGUUUGUGGAUGGACUCGCGGCUUAUCAGUUAGCUGGUGGGGUAGGGGCUUACCAAGGCUUUGACGGGUACGCGGCCUGAGAAGGUGACCGGGCUCAUUAGGACUAAGAUACGGCCCAGACUCCAACAGGAGACAGUAGUCGGAAAUAUUACACAAUGGGAGGGAGCCUGAUGCAGAAACGCCGCGUGCGGGAUGACGGCCUGCGGGUUGUAAACCGCAGUAGCCUGUGACGAAGCGUGAGUGACGGUAAUGGGAAAAUAAGCACCGGCUAACUACGUG
rnacentral:rRNA from 1 species